rnacentral:rRNA from 1 species
GAUGAACGCUGGCGGCGUGCCUAAUACAUGCAAGUCGAGCGAACAGACGAGGAGCCUGCUCCUUCGACGUUAGCGGCGGACGGGUGAGUAACACGUAGGUAACCUACCUAUAAGACUGGGAUAACUUCGGGAAACCGGAGCUAAUACCGGAUAAUAUUUCGAACCGCAUGGUUCGAUAGUGAAAGAUGGCUUUGCUAUCACUUAUAGAUGGACCUGCGCCGUAUUAGCUAGUUGGUAAGGUAACGGCUUACCAAGGCAACGAUACGUAGCCGACCUGAGAGCGCGGGCGAGCAGCGGGGAGGAGAGUCACGGAAGAGAAGAAGGACGAGCGCACCAAGAGGGGAGCUGCGGUGAUGGUCGUAGGAGAGAAGAAGUAUCGUAGCGUGAGUGAUGAAGAUUGAAAGAACGUGAGACUGUGUUGUUGGUGAAUAAUCAAAAUGUAAGUAACUAUGCACGUCAUGAAGGUAACGAAUUAGAAGGCAAAGAGACGUUAGAUG